rnacentral:tRNA from 1 species
GCGAUCGCGACGGGAAUCCCGGUUCGUCCUGUCAAGCCGGAGGUCGCGGGUUCGAGCCCCGUCGACCCCGCCA